GCUGGGUGUGGCAGCACACACCUGUAAUCCCUGCUAGUUGGCAGGCUGAGGCAGGAGGAGCACAAGUUUGAGGCCAGCCUCAGCAAUUUAGUGAGACUCUGUCUCAA
rnacentral:sRNA from 1 species